rnacentral:lncRNA from 1 species
AAAGGGGCAUAACAUGUAGAUACUGGGGUAGAUUUUCCUGCGGUUUUAUUUGUAUCCACCUUUAAUGAAAAUAAACAGGACACUUAUUUCUAGGUUGAUAAAAAUGGCCUUAGAGUAUCUAAAUAAUUCUGUGUCAGCUGGACUUACUGUUUUUUUAAGUGGCAGAAGAGAAGGAUGAACAAUGUUCACUAAGUAGAAAAGGUUAGAGCAGUAGAUGUUUGCUUCCUCCUAUAUUCUGCAUGAUCUCUUGCCUCAGAAAAGUGGGAGAAAAAUAAACCAACACACCACCUGAUGAAUGUCCCACCCCACAGAGUAGUCUAACUCUGUGUCUCAGCAGGAAAAGAGGAAAGAGGAAGAGAAACUGACAUUUAAUGAGUGCCAACUCUAUAUUGGGCACUAUACAUAAAUAGUUGAAUUUAAUCCUCCAUUAAAAACCCCUACUAUGUAGAUAUUAUUAUCCCCAUUUUUAAAGAUAACUCUAUUCAGCUCUUGCAAUUAGGAAAACAUGAGACCAAAAUUUAAGAGCCAGAGCUUCCUGACUCCAAAAUCCUCUUUCUUUCCUGUUAUCCUGCUGAAGUGCCCAUUUCAAAUGAAGCCCGACUUGAUCCUGAACAUAACCUACAAGAAGAAAAGGACCGCAGGAUACUUGAAGAUGUUGAGCUGGAGAUGAAGCUUGUGGGUGACAUUAGACAGGGAAUACACAACUAGAGGGCUGGUGACCUUACCUCAGGCAAUUUCUUUGUCCUUCAAGACCCCUGUACCAGAAACUCCUAUAGCCCAAGGAAUCUGUACUAUUUCCUGCCUCUGACUGUCCUACAGGUUCCUCCUGCAGCCUUCAGGUUGCUGGUCCAGAGAUUGGUAAGAUUUGACACAUGGCUAAGUAGUGGGGCUGAUUCAAAAAGCUCUAAAUUUUGUACAUUAAUUAAAUCAAGACUUAUAGUUUAAAAAGCUGAAUACAAAUUUAAUGUUCAAAACAUAGUGGGGGAAGAUGGGCUGAUUAAC